GACGAACGCUGGCGGCGUGCUUAACACAUGCAAGUCGAACGGAAAGGCCCUGCUUUUGUGGGGGGCUCGAGUGGCGAACGGGGGAGUAACACGGGAGUAACCGGCCCUUGACUUUGGGAUAACUUCAGGAAACUGGGGCUAAUACCGGAUAGGAGCUCCUGCUGCAGGGGGGGGGUGGGAAAGUUUCGGCGGUUGGGGAGGGACUCGCGGCUUAUCAGCUUGUUGGUGGGGUAGUGGCUUACCAAGGCUUUGACGGGUAGCCGGCCUGAGAGGGUGACCGGCCACAUUGGGACUGAGAUACGGCCCAGACUCCUACGGGAGGCAGCAGUGGGGAAUAUUGCACAAUGGGCGGAAGCCUGAUGCAGCAACGCCGCGUGCGGGAUGACGGCCUUCGGGUUGUAAACCGCUUUCGCCUGUGACGAAGCGUGAGUGACGGUAAUGGGUAAAGAAGCACCGGCUAACUACGUG
rnacentral:rRNA from 1 species